rnacentral:rRNA from 1 species
AUCGCAACUCAUGAAUCAUCCAAUCUUUGAACGCACAUUGCGCCCCUUGGUAUUCCAUGGGGCAUGCCUGUUCGAGCGUCAUUUGUACCUUCAAGCUCUGCUUGGUGUUGGGUGCUUUGCCUCACCUCCGCGCGCAUACUCGCCUUGAAAACAAUUGGCGAGCCGGCGUAUUGAUUUCGGAGCGCAGUACAUCUCGCGCUUUGCACUCAUAACGACGACGUCCAAAAGUACAUUUUUACACUCUUGACCUCGGAUCAGGUAGGGAUACCCGCUGAACUUUAAGCAUAUCAAUAAGCGGAGGAAAAGAAACCAACCAGGGAUUGCCCUAGUAACGGCGAGUGAAGCGGCAACAGCUCAAAUUUGAAAAUUCUGGCGUUUUUUGGCGUCCGAGUUUGUAAUUUGCAAAGGGCGCUUUGGCAUUGGCCAGCGGUCCAAGUUCCUUGGAACAGGACGUCACAGAGGGUGAGAAUUCCCGGUACGGUGGUCGCUAGCCUUUACCGUGUAAAGCCCCUUCGACGAGUCGAGUUGUUUGGGAAUGCAGCUCUAAAUGGGAGGUAAAUUCCUUCUAAAGAUAAAUACUGGCCAGAGACCGAUAGCGCACAAGUAGAGUGAUCGAAAGAUGAAAAGCACUUUGGAAAGAGAGUUAAAGAGCACGGUGAAAUUGUUGAAAGGAGAAGCGCUUGCAAGCCAGACUUGCCUGUAGUUGCUCAUCCGGGUUUCUACCCGGUGCACUCUUGUACGGGCAGGCCAGCAUCAGUUUGGGCGGUUGGAUAAAGGUCUCUGUCAUGUACCUCCCUUCGGGGAGAUCUUAUAGGGGAGACGACAUGCAACCAGCCUGGACUGAGGUCCGCGUUCUGAUAGGAUGCUGGGUAAUAAGGAG